rnacentral:rRNA from 1 species
UACAGAGGGUGCAAGCGUUAAUCGGAAUUACUGGGCGUAAAGCGUGCGUAGUCGGUUAUCUAAGUCGGGUGUGAAAUCCCCGGGCUCAACCUGGGAAUUGCAUUCGAUACUGGAUAGCUAGAGUUCGGCAGAGGGAAGCGGAAUUUCGGGUGUAGCGGUGAAAUGCGUAGAUAUCCGAAGGAACAUCAGUGGCGAAAGCGGCUUCCUGGACCAGAACUGACGAUCAGGCACGAAAAGCGUGGGGAGCAAAAAGGG